AUUGAACGCUGGCGGCAGGCCUAACACAUGUAAGUCGAACGAGACCUUCGGGUCUAGUGGCGCACGGGUGCGUAACGCGUGGGAAUCUGCCCUUAGGUUCGGAAUAACUUCGGGAAACUGAAGCUAAUACCGGAUGAUGACGUAAGUCCAAAGAUUUAUCGCCUAAGGAUGAGCCCGCGUUGGAUUAGCUAGUUGGUGAGGUAAAGGCUCACCAAGGCGACGAUCCAUAGCUGGUCUGAGAGGAUGAUCAGCCACACUGGGACUGAGACACGGCCCAGACUCCUACGGGAGGCAGCAGUGGGGAAUAUUGGACAAUGGGCGAAAGCCUGAUCCAGCAAUGCCGCGUGAGUGAUGAAGGCCUUAGGGUUGUAAAGCUCUUUUACCCGGGAUGAUAAUGACAAUACCGGGAGAAUAAGCUCCGGCUAACUCCGUGCCAGCAGCCGCGGUAAACGUGACUACUG
rnacentral:rRNA from 1 species